rnacentral:snoRNA from 1 species
GUACAUAUCAGUAGAUCUUACUUUGCUUUUUCUUGGCUUUGUGAGAAGGACAGCAUAUGCUAGAGGUGGUAUUGAGUGACUGUCUUGUGCAGCCAGCAGGAUAAAUGGUUUGGCUGAACUGUCAUUCCCACAUCC